rnacentral:lncRNA from 1 species
AUAAAAUAAAACUCAAGAAAUUGAAUAAUUGAACUUGUUUAGGAACUCCUAUUGUACUUGAAAUGAGUACGGAAUCAAAUACAAUUGACAAAAAAAAAAGGAACAAAAAAGAAAUUAAAAAACAAAAAGAAAGAGGGGAGGGGAUUAAAGAAGGAAGAUCAUUGUGAGAUUUGAUCAAAGAAUAUUUAUGCAAUAAAAAUUGCAAGCAGCUGCUGUUGUGUGUAAAAGCAACAAGGGAUUAAGGUGGCUCUGAUCACAUGGAGCCCCAUAUGCCCAGCACACAAAAUCCCCUCGCACAAUCCCAAUGACCCUCUCUGGUUUCCUUCUUGGAAACACCACCGCCACUGCCACCGCCACUUCCUCCCCACCUCCACCGUUUUGCUCCUGGUUUGACAUGAAUCCAGAAAUGGAAGAAAAAGGCGGGGUUCUAUUUGUGGGGCUCAAGGUGGGUCCCUUUUGAAAAGUGCUACGUGGCACUCAUGCCAUUGCUAGUAGUGAUAUGGAUCAUAGGAGAGAGAGGGGGGAAGCACAUGGGUGGUGUUAGGUUCAAGAAAAUCAUGUGAUCACAUGUGCUUCCUCUUCCCUUUGUUUUGUUUAGUGGACCCUUAUCCUAACAGGACAGUGAUCAUCCGGACAAGGGAAAAAGAAAUUUUGAUUUCAAUCACUCGAUCUGCGCGUCUGAUUCUAAACCUG